GCCCGGACUCUUUUAGCUGCUGCAAUUGGCCUUUAAAUAAAUGGAGUCGUGUUCCAAUGGUGAACUGCAUCAGACAAGUACAUAGAUGUAUCUGCAUGCCUGCAUGCCUACUGACGUCUUUGGUAUCCUAAAGGAAGACUGGAAUGGACUGAACACUACAAAUAUUUAUCUUGACAGUGAAAAGAAAUCAAAGAACAAUUUGAUCUUCAGGAGAAUACUGCUGCUGUGGCAAUCCUGAAUAUCACGAAGUACCAACGGCUGUGUUCCAUUCAAGUGUCUUCUGGGAUGAGGAAGGGCUCUUGUCAUCUUGCCUGGCUGCCUUAGUUACAAUACGUGAGGGGGCUCUUGCCUAUGUCUGCUGCUGUGCCUUUCCUACGGUGAUGGAUCUUAUCUUUGGAAACCGUGAGUUGGAAUCCACCCCUUGCUACCUGAAAUGGCUUCUUUGAGAUAUUUCGUCACUGGGAUGAGAAGAGGAGCUAACACAGAUCUAACCUCCCAUCCUGGUGGAUGCGCAUGAGUUCAGCAUUCCAUGGCAGAGGCAACAGUUCGCAUCUGCAUCCUUUGGACAUCUCACUUUCUCUAUAGGUCUUAGACCUGCGCACCACCGCUCAAGGGCACUGCUCCUCUCUUUGCAAGUGCCAUUUGGGGGUGAAGGGGGAAUCAAGCCAUGGAGAAAAGGUAGCCAGUCUGGGCUGGAUGGGCCUGGAUAUGAACCCUUCUCUCCCCAUAGGCUUGAGCCACAAAUUAGGUGCCAUCUCUGACACUGACAGGUCCUCCCUACCGGACUAAACAGGAAUAGUCGUGACAUCAACAGGCAUUCAAGAUCCAGGUGACUUCUGGGAGAUGAACAAAAGGCCAUCAUGUCCAAUUUCAUCUGUGGUCCUCACGAGAUAACAGGGGAAUGUCACAUACUUGGAGAGAAGGCUCUUACCAGAGCUAAGUAGAAUGAUGGCCAUUGGUGUGACUUCUGAGCCACGGUGAUGCUGGAAGUGGCAGGCUGUGUGCCACUGUCCCUCUACCAAGGCAUCAGAGCUAUACCUGCCUGGGUCCUUCAGAAACCCAUUCCCUUUGUCUGGGACCUAAUAUUUCCUUGUACAGCUUGCUCAACAACAGGUCACCUAGGGAUGACCAGCAAGUGUCACAUGCAUAGUUAAUUUGAUUGCAGAUUAAAAUCUAGAGGAACCCUUAAACUUGCAUUUCAGAGAAGGGAAAAAUUCAUUUUUACCUUAAGACCUCUUGGAUAUAUGGUUCAUAGUCACAUGGAAGAACGAAUGUUUAUUUGAAAUUCACAUUUAGCUAAUUUUCCCAUACUUUGUGUGUGUGUGUGUGUGUGUGUGUGUGUGUGUGUGUGUGUGUGUGUGUGUGAUUGUACAAGUAUGUCCCUGCAGGUGGAGAUUAGAGGUCAGCUGUGGACGUUGUUCCUCAGCAGUUGCCCACUUUAUUUUUUGGGACAGAGUUUCUCACUGGUCCGAAGCUUAUGGGGCAGGCAGGACUGCCUGGUCUGUGAGCCCCACCUUAUCUCUGCUUCCCCAACACAGGAGUCAGAAAUGUCCACCACCACACUGGGAUGAUUUGUUUAGGCUCUGGGAAAUCAGGCUGACUUGUUUGCAAGGCAAACACUUUAUCUUCCAGGCCAUCUCCUUGCCCCUCUCUCAUGCUUGUGGAAUCUGGACCCCAGUCAGGCAUCUUUCUCCCGUACCUUGCAAGCCUUCUGACAUCAUUUGUAACACACCAUGCACCUACACCGUACAUGUGUAGCUGGCCUCCCUCAGACCAGGCUCCACACAGCAUGCCUUCUUCCUUGACUACAGCUGCUGUCUUUUCAUGGUCUCCCCUCUUUCUCUCAUAACCGCAUCAUAUCUAUUUCUUGUAUGCAACAUUUUUUUUUCUCCAAAACGUCAGCCACAUGAAGUCGCCACUCAAUGACCAGAGCUCUGAAUUGAAUCCAAAUCCUUCUGAUACCCAUGAGCCUCCUCUUUCAACUUCUGCCUGUCAUCAUCCAGAUCUCCUUUUCUCUAUCUUCCUUUGUGUAGACACACCAAGGUCAGCCUCUACGCUACAUGGCUUUUUCAUAGCCUAUGCCCCCUUGUGUCCUUAAGUCCCUCGCAACACUCAGUUUGACAGAGCCCGUUCCUGCCACUCUGGUCCUGUAACUUGUCGUCACUUCUUAUUGUUACUUCCUGUGUUACUGGUUUUGGGGACUGUUUUCCUGUACUCCUCCCUCAGAAGUGGGAAUUGGAGCCACACUUGGGUUAUCUCCUGUUCUUGAUGCCCAGUUUAAUGCUUCAUGAAUCCCAAUCAAACAAUUGGAAAGGACAAAGAUCAUGCCAGUACUCUCUUUAUUCAGAAGCUGGGGAGGCCCUGGGGCUCCAGGAUCUGACUUCCCAAUCCCCCCACUCCUGUUUUCUUCAGGACCAAAGACAGCAGCAGAUCUUUGCAAAUCCCUUGUGCCCACCAGCUCAGCACAGACACCUUGUGGAACCUGAGCAUCUGCCACUUGUGGCACACAGUUAAGCACAUGGCCGGCUGCUGGCGACAAACCAAGAGGUUAUCGAGCUCCUGGAACACAGCUACUGGAAAAGAAAAUGAAAGGAAAGAAAAUCAAAUCAGUCCUGGAAAACUUUGAGUGUUACACACAUCCUUAAUAGACUCUGACUUCCAGCUUUCUCUCUAGGGUAUGGAAGUUCAGAACUGCUAAGUAGUCGAAUAUAUUCGUGAAGAAAAAAAUUCAUAUGGACAAAGAACACAAUAAACAUCUCUAAUUAGGAGUAAAAUAGGCAGAUAAAGGACUUGUGUGCAUGUCACAGCCACUCGGGGGAUGCUGGCCCUGGAGCUGUCUCCCCCUGCGCCAGUGGGGGAGAGUUUGAUUUAUAUGAAUGUUGGCUAUUUGCAGCAAGGAGAGCCCUGCUUGCCACCAGAAAGCAAAAAGACAUCUCUGAGGAGUGGGUGGUU